rnacentral:lncRNA from 1 species
UACACAGUUAAUCCAACAAGCCAAAUACAGGUCCUGCCCUUUUUAACAUUCUUGUUAAAAAGUCUACUGCAAAAUGUUAGAUAACUUAACAGAGCUCCUCACUUAAUUCUUCAUCUAUCUUCUCAAACCCACAGAAAUUCAAUCACUGAAAGCCUGAACUCUUUUUGAUACCUCAUUAAUGUUAAGUAAAUUGCACACCUUUUGUGGAAUUCAUUUUUAAUCAUUCUAAUUGUGUUGGGGCUAUUUUGUUGUACUUUGUUUUUCAAAAAAAUCAGUACCUAAAUUUCCUGACUAAGAGAGUCAUUGUAAGGAUACUGGGGCAUAUAUGUAAUAGAAGAAUGCCUAUUCUGGAAUUUGUAUUUUGCAGGCAACUCAUUUUAACCAAUUAUGAUGUGAAAAAGAUGCUCUUGAGCUUUUAUACUUACCACACAACUAAUUUUUAAAUUCAGGGUUCCUAUGGGAUCAGAUACAUAUAGUUCAGGCUCAGUGUUU